rnacentral:rRNA from 1 species
GAUGAACGCUGGCGGCGUGCCUAAUACAUGCAAGUCGAGCGAACGGACGAGACUCUUGCUGCUCUGUUGUUACCGGCGGACGGGUGAGUAACACGUGGAUAACCCUCCUCUAAGACUUAAAUAACUUCGAGAAACCGGAGUUAAUACCGUAUAUUAUUUUGAACCGCAUGGUUCAAAAGUAAAAUACGGUCUUGCUGUCACUUAUAGAUGGAUCCGCGUUGCAUUAGCUAGUUGGUAAGGUAACGGCUUACCAAGGCAACGAUGCAUAGCCGACCUGAGAGGGUGAUCGGCCACACUGGAGCUGAAACGCGGUCCAGACUACUAAGGGAGGCAGCAGUAGGGAAUCGUCCGCAGAGGGCGAAAGUCUGACGGAGCAGCGCCGCGUGAGUGAUGGAGAUCUUCGGAUCGUAAAACUCGGUUAUUAGGGAAGAACAUAUUUGAAAGUAAAUGUGCAGAGCUUGACGGUACCUAAUCAGAAAGCGACGGCUAACUACGUG